GUGGUCCCUCCUGCCCCCAUGCCGAACUCAGAAGUGAAACGCCGUAGCGCCGAUGGUAGUGUGGGGUCUCCCCAUGCGAGAGUAGGGAACUGCCAGGC
rnacentral:rRNA from 1 species